GGUUUAAUUACAGAAGUUGCUUGCUUGAGUCUGAUAAUAAGAAAUCCUCUCUGCCUGUGACAACCUCUACCGGUUUUUCCUGAAGACGUGCCCAAGGCUUAUCAGCUCAAGAAAAAUGUAAAUGGCAUGAAUUAAAAUGGGUUCGGCACAUUUGGAGUGGCAAAGGACCUAGGUAGAGGUCAUUUCUUGGGUUUGCCAUCAACGGUAAAACCACUGUCUCGGGUGAAUUGUUUAGGAGUUGUCCUGUCCUCUCCAAUGAGUGCACGGAAAGUUGAUCUGAUAAAACUGGGCGUGUGUAUUUUCCUAGUUUUCCAAGUCUCAACACGGCAUUUCAGGACGUCUGCAUUUACUUUCAAUUAUCAGGUGUGACAUGAGUGACUGCUUUUCAGGAUCGAUUGAUACUACAUAGUUCAAGUUUACUUCACGCUCUACUUGAUAUAUUAUGACAUGUUUAUUACAUGGAACAUUUUAUGAUGCCGAAAGACCGAAACAGGUAGCCUCAUCGGAUUGAAUGAAUUCAACACAGGCAAGAAUACUUCAUGUAAAACCAGGGCAUCCCAGAAUGAUGUUAUACCUGUAUACAUGUUCUCUCUACGGG